GACGAACGCUGGCGGCGUGCCUAACACAUGCAAGUCGAGCGGAGCUAAUAGUAAUAUUAGUUUAGCGGCGGACGGGUGAGUAACGCGUGGGCAACCUGCCUCACACUGGGGGAUAACACAGGGAAACUUGUGCUAAUACCGCAUAACAUCAUUGAAGGACAUCCUUUAAUGAUCAAAGGAGCGAUCCGGUGAGAGAUGGGCCCGCGUCCAAUUAGCUAGUUGGUGAUGUAACGGACCACCAAGGCGACGAUUGGUAGCCGAACUGAGAGGUUGAUCGGCCACAUUGGGACUGAGAUACGGCCCAGACUCCUACGGGAGGCAGCAGUGGGGAAUAUUGCGCAAUGGGGGAAACCCUGACGCAGCAACGCCGCGUGAAGGAUGAAGGUUUUCGGAUCGUAAACUUCUUUGAUGGGGGACGAAACAAAUGACGGUACCCCAAAAACAAGCCACGGCUAACUACGUGCCAGCAGCCGCGGUAAUACGUAGGUGGCGAGCGUUGUCCGGAAUUACUGGGUGUAAAGGGCGUGUAGGCGGGAAUGUAAGUCAGAUGUGAAAUACCGAGGCUUAACCUCGGGGCUGCAUCUGAAACUAUGUUUCUUGAGUGUCGGAGAGGAAAGUGGAAUUCCCAGUGUAGCGGUGAAAUGCGUAGAUAUUGGGAGGAACACCAGUGGCGAAGGCGACUUUCUGGACGAUAACUGACGCUGAGGCGCGAAAGCGUGGGGAGCAAACAGGAUUAGAUACCCUGGUAGUCCACGCCGUAAACGAUGGAUACUAGGUGUAGGAGGUAUCGACCCCUUCUGUGCCGGAGUUAACACAAUAAGUAUCCCACCUGGGGAGUACGGCCGCAAGGU
rnacentral:rRNA from 1 species